GGUAAUAAAUUAGGGAGUGUUGGUAGCAAAAUUGUUAGACCUUUCCUCAACACAUAUAAUGGUAAUAUUUUUCUAUUCACUUCCUUUCAUUACUCAUUUUAGUUUAUUUUCUUUCUUUUAAUUUCUUGGCCUUGGGUUUCACGGGUUUUGAUUUGGGUUUUUCUAGGCUUUAGGUUUCUUGAGUUUCACCAUGGAUGGCUUUCUUUUUUUCAGUCUAGCAGUAUAUGUUUAUUCUCUUUAGUUUGAGAUUAUUAUAUUGCUGGUAUUUUCACAAUUCCAUAUGAAGCAGCUCAAGAAUAUGGGAUGGGACCAAUUGUCGAUUUUUAAAUUAUGAUUUGCUCAAAUCCUGUGAUGUUUAUUUUGAGUAAUUAUGCUAAUGCUUGAUGAUGAAAUGUUAAGAGACUUAGUUCUUUUUGUUUCCUUUCAGAUUACAAAAAGGAUAAUGGCCUGCAUCUUACGGAUUCAUAUUCAUCAGAAGAAAAAAUUGUUGUGUUGGAGGAGUAGAUUUUGUUACAUUGGUAUGAAUUUUUCUCUUUUAAAAUCAUCUUAAGUUCAAUGAUUUGGUGUUACUGCUUCCAAAUUUAGAGCAUGUGUUAGAGUCAAUUUGAUUUGAUUUAGUAUUAUUAUUUGAUAUAUCUUUCUCUUUGUAAAUUUUCAUCUCUAAAGCAUCUGAAGAUGUGUUCAAUUGAUAGUAAGCCUUAUGCUUACUUUUUAAUUGGUGCAUUUUGGUGUUUCUAUUGUAAUUUUAAAUGGCACUUCUAUUCAAUCAUGUGCUCUGUGAUGAGCCAAGUACAUAAAUCAUUCCAGAGCAUGGAAAAACUUUUUGAUAGUUUGUAUUGUUUGUUAUUGUAUCUUUCAGUAGUAUAUUGCUUAUAGAAAUAUCUCAUUGCUAUUUGACAGCAUUCCACUACAUUGUUGUUAUUUGUUCUUAUAGUUGAUUUGUCAUGGAGCUCCUAAUUGUAUAUGAGGUAGGUUGAAUGUUAUUUACAUUUAAUUUGGUUGUUUAAGAGAAAUUUGAUAAUAUUUACUUAGACCUUUUUUAUAGUUCCAUUUAGGAGGGUGGCAACAAGAUACAUAUUUCGUCAGCACUAUUCCUUUGUCAAAUAUUUGGAAAGAUAUAUGACAAAUACAACUUUGAUUUUUGACUUUAGAUCCCUCAUUUGAGAGUGAUGACAUAAAACAAAGGUCAUUGCUAGAUUAUAGUGUGUGGAUAUGGCAUUUAGUUUAUUGGCUUUAUUACAUCAUAAUACUCAUACUUUAUUACCAUUUUACUAUGCUUUCUAUCAAAACUCUAUUAAGUAUAUUUGCUUCUUACAUGGUAGAAUAUUGCACGACCAAAUAGGCAUUUGAUGAUUUGUAUAAAUCCUUCCAAUUUUCAGAUCUGAUCCAAACUUCUUUAGGUUCCAAUGCAUAUUAAUUUCAAUCACCAUGGCAUUCUCUUGCAUUAUUGGAUUUUUCUUUUCUAAUUUCAAUGAAUUGAUGACAUAUUUAUUAGUUUUUGUUGUUAUUCUUGCUGCAUAAAGAGGAAGUUCAAGCCUAAGUUAGUAAAAUGAAAAAGUAAUUUAUUUUAAAUCUUUUUUCUUUUUCUAUUUUCUUCACCUUAUGGAUUGGAUUGCAAAAGCCAUCUUUGUUCUUUGGAUUGGCAUAUAUAUAAUGAAUUCUAUCUGUUACAAUUUUUGGUUAUGGAUUGGUCAUGAAUUUUCAUUAUUGGACAUGGAAUCAAUUUGUUUGAUUAUGAAUCGGUUUAGUGCCACACUCUAAUUUUGGCACGAACAAAUAAUCUAGCACAAGAGAGGGAAGCAUAGUCAUCAAGUGUGUUUUUUAUUUUUUUAUUUCCAUGGUUCAUUGCAUUUUGAUUCAGAAUAAUAUCUAUAGUAAAGCUUCCAGACUUUGACUCAUUUUUAGUAAUGUUUGUUUUCAAUGAAGCUUUCAAAAAGAUGGUAUAUUUUACUUGAUAAUUUGUUUGAAAUAAAAGGGUAAAAAUGGAAUAAAAUUGUUAUAACUCAUUCCAUUCCAUCUAUUUUCCAAACAAUGGGAUGAAAAGUUUGUUCCAUUAUACUAUAAAAUACCCAAACAAUGGAAUCUAUGUUCCAUUCCACUCUUUCUACUUCAUUCCAUUCCACCUUAUUUCGGUCUACUCCGCUUGUUUUAAAAUAUCCAAACAAGUUAUGAUGCUUAUCUGGUUGAUGAACUCCUUUGAAAGAAUCUUCCAACUAUUUUUGGAGAUUUCUGGUUUACAUUUUGUAAAAACCAUGGAUUGAGCAAGUACAAUAGCAGUCUCCUUGCAAUCCAAGUUGUGGCCGUCUUACAAUUAUAGUUUAGACUGAAUAAUUUUGUUUCAUGCAAUAGCACUUUCAUCCUAAGAGCUUUUUCGAAUACUAACCUUGAUUUGAUUAACUGCAGACAAAAUGUACUAUAUUUACUUUUCUUUGAUUAUAGUUAUUUGCACUAUGGGUUCAUGUUGAGCCCCAAAAGUUUAAUUCAUGUUUGAAGUUUUCAUUAUUUGUGAGGGAAAACGGGGAGUUCUGUCAAUGCCUAAUAGAAUUUUAGUAAAUAUAUUUCCAUGUAAUGUGAUUCUCUGUAGUAUCUUCUAAGUAUCGUUUUGCCUUUGCUCGUGAUUCUUCAACAUUAAUUAUGUAAUCUGUGUGCUAUAAUGGUGGUUUUUGUCAACAUUAAUUAUGUGAACUUCUUAUAUGUAUUAUUACAUAUACAUGUAUUUGUAUAUAUGUGCAUUUUAUUAAUGUGCCAAUCUGUCUUUUAUGGCUUACAUGUAUAGAGCAUGUUGCAUACUUUUUUUAUUGUAUCUUUGAUUAAUUUUAUGCAUGAAAUAUAAACAAAAGUUAUAGAUUUUAAAGUGCAAGGCUCUAUUAUGUUGUUAAAUUAUGUAAUGUGCAUAAGGCCUAACUCAAUUACAAUUUUACAUUGUUAGGUUGAACAAUUUUUGUGGCUUGGAAUAAAGUGUUAAAAGAUUUGUGUAAGUUAUUGUGGUUAUUGAAUGCUAAGUUUGUCUCGUGUUAUAAAAACUAAAUUAGCCUCUGUUUUUUAUGAGUUUGGUUUGGAUUGUCACUUUAGUAUUUCAAGUUGUAGCGUGAUUGAAACUUUGAUAUAAUAUAUUAAUGUUUUUAUUUUCUUUUA
rnacentral:lncRNA from 1 species